GUAGUCUUAACCCUCCACCUAACUUUUGUGUGUUUUCUGAAUAAUAAAAGUAUCAAGCAUUUGGUUUACUGGUUGUAAUUGCUGUUUUAGGUUGAUGUUUCACUGGACCCGGUGAAGGAGUUGAGCAGAGUAAUAUCUGAGCGAAAAAAUUGAGGGGCGUGCUUUGGUUGUGCUCUCAGCCAGGUUAUUUUACGAGGGUUGUGUGCACUGAACCCCAUUUCUCUGGACCAAGGGACGAUGAACAAGAUGGGAAUGAGGAGGAUGCGACCUAUAGAUGGUUGCUAUGGAUCAGGAGGUUGAUACUGAACAUCAGUUUACUACUAAUCCGGAGUAGUAAUAUUGGAUUACAGGUCAUGGGUUAACUAAUACAUGCAUCAGCUUUGUAUCAUAAAGAUUUCACCAUCCCAAGGUAAUGGAAAUAAGUUCACAAGAUUCUCAUGUUGAGGUCUGUACAAAGAGAUACAAGGCAAUGUCUGUGUGCUGGAACGAGAAACUCACUGCCAAAGCUAUAAUCCCUGAUGCUAAAGCCUGCAUGUUCAGAUCUGCUGAGUUUACUCAUAUUAAUAAUGAUUAAUACAGAGGGAGCCCUUUUGUCAGGUCAUUUAAUCAUUUAAUCAUAGGUACAUUAUCUCAGGUAACUUACUACUACCUUUGUUCAAAAAUAAGUGACGUUAACUUAGUACACCUUUGCACUAAAAUUGUACUAAAUCCGUGACACUUAUUUUGGGACAGAGGGAGUAUUUCAUUUUCUACCUGAACCAAGUUGUUAUUUCAUUUCUAAGAGGCAAAGAGUUCCUCCUGGUUAGUUUGCCACAUUUUAUAUGUCUAUCUAUGUGCAUUACUAAUUCACUAUAUGCACCUUUAGUUCCCAGUUUUGGCUCACUUUCUUGAUGCAUCUUGGAUGAGAGGAAAGGAAUGGAUAAUCUGACAAGCAAUGUUCGGGCAUACCCUUAUAUUUACGUCUGAUGAAAUGCUGCGGGUGCAAAAUAAUCAAGACUGCUGCCAUGAGCAAAAGAGCAGACAUUACUUAUGAGAAAACAAUAAAAGAAUCUUCCGUGACUACAUACCACGACGAGUCAAAGACAAUGAAAGCACUACUCCAUUGGUGGUGUUAGCAAGUGGAGUCUGGAGGGAGAACAACACAAAGUAGGAAAUUGAUUCCCUCGCCCUCGCUUGCUUCAACGACCCUGCCCGUCUUGGUGGGGUCGAUUCCCCCAUCGCCCGACUCAUCUCCGACGAGUAUGGCGUCAGUGGGUACGCCCCGCCGUUCGUAUGCUUGGCGGGUCCCAGAACACCCGUGACGUGUAUGAGCUUGACUAGGGCGAGGGGCUCGUGCUCGUGCUCGAGCUCGACAAGACGCACUUCGAUCUCGUCACCAACUACGAGCUGGACUGUGAGACUCCAGAGCAGGCGGGGGUGACGAAGACGAAAGUGGGGGCAGUUCGAGCUUGUCGCUGCCGGAGACCCUGGAGAGGUGCGCGAAGAGACCUGGUUAGAUUUGUUGGCCACCACUGGUAAACUGCACUAAUAACAAAUCAGAUGUCAUCUCUCAUGUUGCUAAUUCAACCCUGGACGAUGUUGCGCGGCCCGCGGCCAUGGACGAUGUGCUGUUGGACAACGACGCGAGGCCGAGGCAGCCAAUGUGAAUGACCACUGGAAAUCAUUUACCUUUCAAUCUUGGAAGGCCCUAAGCUGAAGGAGAGCAUCAAUUGUCAUGAGAGAUAAGCAAUAUCUAUUAGACAUGCAUACUAUCAGGCUAACGCAAACCACUCGGGAAUGAAGAACUUACUUCCCAACAAGGAAAGUCCAAUGAUUGGGCAACAACAUGUGGAAGGAUAAUUACUGGAUACUUUUUUUAGCGAACAACUGCGGAGCAAAUGAUUUGCUGUCUCAAAACAUCCAAAUAUGCAGUGUCAGCAAUACUGUUUGAUAGCUUGGGGUAUGAUAAUGCGGCAAACGGCCAACGGCUGGCUAGCUGUGUGGGAGAGCAAGAGAUGUCUCGAGAAACGUCUCACUACAGUGGGAAACCGAGCGGGAAGGGGAGGGUGUGACAGGGAAAAGGAAAUUUGUGUUGCGCCCGCGGGUUGGAGAUAACAAAUGGUGGAUAGUCCGAACAAUGACAUUUCUUCCCCACAUAUUAUCUGGAUAUGGGUAAGUCCGGACUAUCCAGGCGGUUGAAUUUUGGGGAGCUCGUUGGGCACCGGACGUAUGAGGGAGAAAUGAGCUUCGACUUUGAAAACGACUUUAAUAAUUUAUUUGAUUCGUUUAUGUGCAUUGUAGCCCGUAGCAACGCACGGGCAUUGUACUAGUUCUGAUAAAUUCUGAUUCAUGCGUGUCUCUCCCAAAAGGUGGGUACAACAAGGAUUAUUAUGAUAAACUAAAAA